rnacentral:rRNA from 1 species
UACGAGUGCUUCAAGCGUUAUCCGGAAUCAUUGGGCGUAAAGGGUGUGUAGGCGGCUAUGUUAGUCUUCCGUAAAAUUCUUCGGCUCAACCGGGGGCUCGCGGGGGAAACGGCAUGGCUUGAGGAUGGAAGGGGUCUCUGGAACUCAUGGUGUAGCGGUGAAAUGCGUUGAUAUCAUGGGGGAACACCAAAAGCGAAGGCAAGAGACUGGUCCAUUUCCUGACGCUGAAACACGAAAGCGUGGGUCGCGAAUGGGG